rnacentral:rRNA from 1 species
UAAUACGGAGGGUGCAAGCGUUAUCCGGAUUCACUGGGUUUAAAGGGUGCGUAGGUGGGCAGGUAAGUCAGUGGUGAAAUCUCCGGGCUUAACCCGGAAACUGCCGUUGAUACUAUUUGUCUUGAAUAUAGUGGAGGUGAGUGGAAUAUGUCAUGUAGCGGUGAAAUGCUUAGAGAUGACAUAGAACAUCGAUUGCGAAGGCAGCUCGCUACACUAUUAUUGACACUGAGGCACGAAAGCGUGGGGAUCAAACAGGAUUAGAUACCCUGGUAGUCCACGCCCUAAACGAUGGAUACUCGACAUCAGCGAUACACGGUUGGUGUCUGAGCGAAAGCAUUAAGUAUCCCACCUGGGAAGUACGACCGCAAGGUU